UUGCAUGUGAAUAUGUGCAGCUCUUUUAUGCCAUAGCCAAGGAUUUUCCUCUUUAGCAACUAAGCAUGUUAUACUAUGACUAGAUGCACUUUCAAUAUCAAUCAAAUAUAUGUUGUUGUGCCUAACACCUUGCAAAGCAAUAUUAGUAGAAUCUUUAAAAUAAACUGUGCAUUUAUCACUUUCAAAUGUUACCUUGAGACCUUCGUCACAUAAUUGACUUAUGCUUAGGAGGUUAUGC
rnacentral:lncRNA from 1 species